GGGGGGAGGUGGGUUGUGCUGGGCGCUGAGAAGGGCCCUCGCGGCAGUGCUGCAGCGGGUCGAGCACCUCUUGAGUCAGAGUUGUAGAAAUCAACCAAAUAUCUGCCCGACAACACAGAAGUAGCUAAGAAUGACUCCUUUAUUUUAUGCUUCAGUUAAACAAGAUGAGCUAAUUCAGAAUUUGAAUGAAUUCAGAGAAGAAAAAAUACCCAGUCAUUGUAAUGAUGUACUUUUGGCAGAUGAUUGAACAUGAAUGGAGACUUCUUUUAGAAGGAAAUGCACGAGGCAGUUGCACAGCAUUCUAAAAAUGCCUGUCAAAGGAAACUUACAUAAUUCACAGAUAAUCAGUGUAUAUUACAAAUAAAAGCAGCUUUUCUAUUUGCAGUCAAUGAGUGACCAUUGUGAUCCACAACAAGUAAUGUAAACCAACAGUAUUCAAAGAUAUUAUUCAGAAGGACAAAAGCAUGCACACAGAUGGCCACAAAGCCUUUUAAGCUUGUGAGCAAACCUGCUACUUACUGGGCAUAAACACAUUCUACAGUAGUUUCUAAUAAUUUUCAAAAUUAGCAACCUUCUUGGGCCACUAAUUUUAACAUCCAGCCUACUUUUAAAAAUUUGGAAAUUGCCUUUAUAGACAUUUGUUGUUAGAUUCCGUAUCAGAUGGCAGUAAUCUUUGGGUCUUUUGAGCAGUUAUUGAUACUGCAGCAGAAUCAGGAUAAAGGGGAAAAGGUGGAAAAAUCUCUUAAAGACACUGAUUUGCAAUGUUUUAUAUUCUCAUUCUAGUAAUUAGAGUCAUCAGCCAAUGAUUUGUAAAUCCAGGAUGAAGCUACAAGCCCUUAAUGCAACUUCAUUUCCUGAGUAUUUUUUGGUUGGUUGGUUUUUA